CUGAAAUGAUGAAUAGUUAUGUAACUGAUAUAUAUUUGAUGUUACAAUACGAGCUUUUUAACACUGAUUUUU